GCGGAGUUGGCUCAGUCGGUAGAGCGUUGGUCUCAUAAUCCAAAGGUCGGGAGUUCGAGCCUCCCCACUCCGCA
rfam:Allomyces macrogynus ATCC 38327 genomic scaffold supercont3.71, whole genome shotgun sequence.